rnacentral:rRNA from 1 species
AAGUGAAAAGGCUUAAAUGGAUUAGGGGGACGAUAAGACCCUAUAAAGCUUGACAAUAAGUUAAUUAUAUUAUAAAUUGUUAGUAUAACUUGAUUUUAAUUGACGUUUGUUACGUUGGGGCGACGAGAAUAUAAUGAGUAACUGUUCUUAAACAUUUAAUGACAAAUAUAAUUGGUAUUUGAUUGAUCCUUUAUUAAAGAUUAAAAGAUUAAGUUACUUUAGGGAUAACAGCGUAAUCUUCUUUGAGAGUUCAUAUCGACAAGAAGGUUUGCGACCUCGAUGUUGAAUUAAGGUAUCCUUAUGAUGCAGCAGUUACAAAGGAAGGUCUGUUCGACCUUUAAAUCCUUACAUGA